AAAUAAUUUUGUCACGAUUAAUUAUCGGCCCAAAGAUUUAUUUAAAAGCCCAAGACUUAAUUAUUUACCUCACCUCUUACUUCUUAUUUAAUUUAAAAGCCCCAAUUAAACAAAUAAAGGAGCCCAAUCUAGCAACCAUCCCAUUUUAACUAAUAGGCCCAAGAAAAUAAGUAAAAGCCCAAAUUCUUUUAUCAAUACAAUUGCCCAAUUUUGACUCCCAUUUUCCCCAAAUCGGUCAACUCUCUCUCCCUCUAUCUUCUUUCUUCUCUCUCUACCCCCUCCCUCCAUCGCAGAAGCCCUCCCCCUUCCGUCGCUCUCUCUCCGGCUCGACGCUGCCGUCAGAGCUGCCGCGGCGGUCGCCAGGAAGUCGCCAGCUGCUGCUGCCUCGCCGCCUCUGUCCGUCCGCCGUCGCAGAGUCGCCGGGAGAAGCUGCUGCCGCAACGAGGAGGAACGCCGCCGUCGCCCGCUGCAGCUCGAUGGUGAACCACCGAUGCUGCCCUCUCUCCGACCGUUCUCGCCAGCCGCCUCUUCGCCGGUUUCGACAAGCAAGAGAUUGUGAAUUUAUCCUCGGCAGAAGUGUGCUCCCAAGAUAAAACUCUCUAACCUUUUGAUUAUUAUUGAAUUCAUUUUGGGUUUUCACGUUUUUGGAUCUACUUUAGCAUUUCUUGUAAUUUGGAAGACUUGAAGGUGAAACAUACUAUUAGGCUAGGUGUUGUAAAUUCCAAAUUUAGGCAGAUUAUAUCUUCGAAAUUGUAUAUGCAUGCUUGUACAUAGAUGAAAGAAAAGAAAGGCUUGGUGUUUACCUUUUGAUGUGGGAACAAAGUAAAGUGUUGUUGGA